rnacentral:rRNA from 1 species
UACGUAGGCAGCAAGCGUUGUUCGGAAUUACUGGGCGUAAAGGGUGCGUAGGCGGUUUUGUAAGUUUGGGGUGAGAUCUCCCGGCGUAACUGGGAGGGUGCGCCGAAAACUGCAAGGCUAGAGUGCAGGAGAGGAGAGUGGAAUUCCUGGUGUAGCGGUGAAAUGCGUAGAUAUCAGGAGGAACACCGGUGGUGUAGACGGCUCUCUGGACUGUUACUGACGCUGAGGCACGAAAGCGUGGGGAGCAAACAGG